GAUGAACGCUGGCGGCGUGCCUAAUACAUGCAAGUCGAGCGAACAGACGAGGAGCUUGCUCCUCUGACGUUAGCGGCGGACGGGUGAGUAGCACGUGGAUAACCUACCUAUAAGACUGGGAUAACUUCGGGAAACCGGAGCUAAUACCGGACAAUAUAUUGAACCGCAUGGUUCAAUAGUGAAAGACGGUUUUGCUGUCACUUAUAGAUGGAUCCGCGCCGCAUUAGCUAGUUGGUAAGGUAACGGCUUACCAAGGCAACGAUGCGUAGCCGACCUGAGAGGGUGAUCGGCCACACUGGAACUGAGACACGGUCCAGACUCCUACGGGAGGCAGCAGUAGGGAAUCUUCCGCAAUGGGCGAAAGCCUGACGGAGCAACGCCGCGUGAGUGAUGAAGGUCUUCGGAUCGUAAAACUCUGUUAUUAGGGAAGAACAAAUGUGUAAGUAACUAUGCACGUCUUGACGGUACCUAAUCAGAAAGCCACGGCUAACUACGUG
rnacentral:rRNA from 1 species